ACGGGCACUGCAGCGCCGGUUGCCUGGCAGCAGGAACGCGCAUCCUCUUCUCCAUGACAAACAUCAUCUCCAUCGACCCAGAGCACCUCCCGUUUCAAAUGUCUGCCCAAGCCAGAAAGCUUAGCAAGGGGAAAUGUAGCUCAUCAAACUGAAACGAUGAAAUCUCGUUUCUUCACUGGGAUAGUGCUGGGACCCUUGCAUUGAUCAGCUGCCCCAUAGGUGAAUUCAUCCAGCACCACAAGGAGAAUUCCGUGUGCUUGGCCAUUCAGCCCGGAUUAGCACUAAGAGAACAAGCUCCCUUAAAGAAACACGUGCUAAUUACAUGAAUAUUUAGCUUUGUACAAAACUGUCAGAGGAAAAAGUCAUCUGAACUGCUGUCCCAUGUGGUUUUCCUGGAGUGCAUGUCCUUCACACCAGGAAUUUGUGGUUCUCCUACAGUGCACACCCCACAAGGAUACAAACACACAAGGGUCUUUUGAAGAACAGCAGUUGUUGGUCAGUUGAAAGCUUUGUCCUGGACAGCAGGGUGCAAGGGUGGCAGUGUUGAGGAGCACCAGACUUCACGGAAGGUGGCAUCUAUGCACAAUGGCACCCAGGAGCCUUAGCUCAUCAAAGGAAAGAAAAAGAAGCCUUUGCAGAAUCUGAAGAUAUUGUAAUACAUUCUGCAGUUUCCUGGA